AUUGAACGCUGGCGGCAGGCCUAACACCUGCACGUCGAACGAGUGGCGGACGGGUGAGUAAUGUCUGGGAAACUGCCUGAUGGAGGGGGAUAACUACUGGAAACGGUAGCUAAUACCACAUACCAUCAGAUGUGCCCAGAUGGGAUUAGCUUGUUGGUGGGGUAACGGCUCACCACAGAUACGAUGCCUAGCUGGUCUGAGAGGAUGACCACACACAAUGUAACUGAGAAACGGUCCAGACUCCUACGGGAGGAAGCAGUGGGGAAUAUUGCACAAUGGGCGCAAGCCUGAUGCAGCCAUGCCGGGUGUAUGAAGAAGGCCUUCGGGUUGUAAAGUACUUUCAGCGGGGAGGCGUUACCCGCAGAAGAAGCACCGGCUAACUCCGUGCCAGCCGCGGCGGUAAUAC
rnacentral:rRNA from 1 species